rnacentral:rRNA from 1 species
GACGAACGCUGGCGGCGUGCCUAAUACAUGCAAGUAGAACGCUGAAGGAGGAGCUUGCUUCUCUGGAUGAGUUGCGAACGGGUGAGUAACGCGUAGGUAACCUGCCUGGUAGCGGGGGAUAACUAUUGGAAACGAUAGCUAAUACCGCAUAAUAGUAGAUGUUGCAUGACAUUUGCUUAAAAGGUGCAAUUGCAUCACUACCAGAUGGACCUGCGUUGUAUUAGCUAGUUGGUGGGGUAACGGCUCACCAAGGCGACGAUACAUAGCCGACCUGAGAGGGUGAUCGGCCACACUGGGACUGAGACACGGCCCAGACUCCUACGGGAGGCAGCAGUAGGGAAUCUUCGGCAAUGGACGGAAGUCUGACCGAGCAACGCCGCGUGAGUGAAGAAGGUUUUCGGAUCGUAAAGCUCUGUUGUAAGAGAGGAACGAGUGUGAGAGUGGAAAGUUCACACUGUGACGGUAUCUGACCAGAAAGGGACGGCUAACUACGUG